GAUGAACGCUGGCGGCGUGCCUAACACAUGCAAGUCGAACGGAGAUUUAACGCUGAUGAGGCUUCGCCGGAUUCUUGUUAAAUCUUAGUGGCGGACGGGUGAGUAACGCGUGGGCAACCUGCCUCAUACUGGGGGAUAACAGCUGGAAACGACUGUUAAUACCGCAUAAGCGCACAGUAUCGCAUGAUACAGUGUGAAAAACUCCGGUGGUAUGAGAUGGGCCCGCGUCAGAUUAGCUAGUUGGUGAGGUAAAGGCCCACCAAGGCGACGAUCUGUAGCCGGACUGAGAGGUCGGACGGCCACAUUGGGACUGAGACACGGCCCAAACUCC
rnacentral:rRNA from 1 species